ensembl:lncRNA
CAGGACUUCAACACAGCUAAAAAUAGCAGCAGCAUUGGUAGAGCUCCAGAGGUCCACGAGGAGAUGACCUUCAACGGAGCAUCAGAACUUAUUUUUAAUCAGAUCUCCCAGCUUUCAUCCACUAAUGGAAGUCAUUUUCACAUACCUUUUACCCCAUUUCCCAGAAGGGCAUGUCAGCUCUGGUUUCUGCUCGAGCACAAGAAUGAUAUGGACCUCAUCAGAGCGAAGAGAGGGGGGAGGAGGAUGAACCGAGAAUAAUAAUAGAAAAGU